GACGAACGCUGGCGGCGUGCCUAAUACAUGCAAGUCGAACGAGUGGCGGACGGGUGAGUAAUGUCUGGGAACCUGCCCGAUGGAGGGGGAUAACUACUGGAAACGGUAGCUAAUACCGCAUACCAUCGGAUGUGCCCAGAUUGGAUUAGCUAGUAGGUGGGGUAACGGCUCACCUAGGCGACGAUCCCUAGCUGGUCUGAGAGGAUGACCAGCCACACUGGAACUGAGACACGGUCCAGACUCCUACGGGAGGAAGCAGUGGGGAAUAGUGAAAAAUGGGCGCAAGCCUGAUGCAGCAAUGCCGCGUGUAUGAAGAAGGCCUUCGGGUUGUAAAGUACGUUCAGCGAGGAGGCGUUACUCGCAGAAGAAGCACCGGCUAACUCCGUGCCAGCAGCCGCGGUAAUAC
rnacentral:rRNA from 1 species